CACGGUUUCACUAUUCUCAGUUCGUUUAUGCCAGGCUUGGUCAAGACUAUGCUACAAAAUGGCCUGAAGUGGUACCUUAUAGGCAACGGAUGCAGGGUAAAGAGAGUUGCCAUACGUUUUUACGAGCAGAAUUGUGGCAUGAUUUAUUCAAGAUCUGCUGCAGUCAGUAAAUAUUUGUAUGGUCUGCAAUUCUGCAUACUGCUAAAGGAUUUACAACUGAGCACUGUACUCGGAGAAAAUUAACAAGGUUCUACUUCGUCCUGGCGCCACUCCCAUCCUCGUCUGCCUCAUGGUCACGGUCCUAGCCGUGGAUGAUGCCAUUGCGCCAUACUCCCUACUUACCCCUGCAUGACAACCGCGCUACUAUGCCGCUAUGCAAUCACAUGCUUGUCUCCGUCCUUGUCAGUCCACAGGCAUUGCUCAUAUUUUUGUCCCUAAAAAAUAUUGGAGAGAUAUGCUAAUUUCCUGAAGUUGAAUGUUCUCUUUGAGCACCUCAGUGAUUAAAGAUUAGAUGGAUUUUCCCCUAGGUACAUUGUCAUGUAAGCAAAUUUCCUCAAAGGUGUUUCGAAUUAGUUUGCCGAAUUGCUGAUUGUACCGCUUGAAUGCAGCUAGGAAUAUAGACCAAGUGAUGAUGGCUACCUUUUGGUUCUUAUAAUUGAGUCACGAGCACUUAU